GCUAAGCGCUAUUCCGUCGCAGUAAAUAAUUACGCUCGAAUGUUAUGUAGUCGUUCUCGAUACGCACACACACAAACCCAGCAUUGCGGGACGAGUGCUUCAUGCUUGCGUAUUAGUAAAUUUUGUGCGCGUACAUCGCGCGUAUCUUGACAGUGCGUAGGUACGCGUUUUGCGCGAUGCGGUUGUUUUACACGCGUGUGCGUGCAUGGCCCUCGGAGUCCCACAUUGUUGGCGGCGGGGUACGGGCCCGGGGGUUGGACGGUAAAUUAGUGAAACAAUUGUUACACAUCGCAAAUGAAUUGUGCGCAAAACGUAACGCGCAUUCUCGCGGGGGUCGUGCCCAGGGAGUACCAGCGCCACCAAAUUGGGUACCAUCAAAAUAAAAUUCUACUAGUUAUUACCGUAACUUGUUAGUACCAUCGCGUUAAUGGUUACCAGCGUUACCAGUAGGUUUCCAUGUUGAUUUUUAGCGCAUAGUGUAUGGGGACCACAGCCGCAUGGUAUUACGAGCGCAUGGGUUUUAUAAACUGGAAGAAAACAAGUUUGCGUUGUGUGCGCGCCGCGUACCAUCGUCGCCUCUCUCUCCAUCCUGUUCGGUCUCGUCGGUCGGUUGAGCGCGACGGAUGUAAAAAAGCUAC